rnacentral:misc_RNA from 1 species
UACGUAGGUGGCGAGCGUUGUCCGGAAUUACUGGGCGUAAAGCGCGCGUAGACGGCUUAAUAAGUCAGAUGUGAAAGACCCGGGCUCAACCUGGGGGCGGCAUCUGAGACUGUUGAGCUUGAGUGCAGGAGAGGCAAGUGGAAUUCCCAGUGUAGCAGUGAAAUGCGUAGAGAUUGGGAGGAACACCAGUGGCGAAGGCGACUUGCUGGACUGUAACUGACGUUGAGGUGCGAAAGCUAGGGGAGCAAACGGG